ensembl:lncRNA
GUCGCAUCUUUUUUGUCAACAAUAUUACAUGUUGUUACAGUUACAGUUAGUGUUUAAUGACGGUGUUGUCUCGUCACGGAAAAAGAGGUGGCUGACAAGCAUUUUUCGUCAUAGUCUUCGGUAACAAAGUUGACAUUAUGCACAUGCUGCACCUGAGAUACCAGUGAUCCUGACCCUUUCUGCUGCAUCACCUGACCUUUAACCUGUUUUUGGAUUCUGAGCUUGAUAUUAUGAUUCGGAUUUGUUCUACAGGUACUAUAGAGUAUUUUUCUUGAUCAAAGUUUAAUUUGAGUAUGACUGUUGUAUAAUACAUCAGGUUCAAUCAAAAGUGUGAAUUAAUCAACAGGUGUCACGUAAUGGACGCUAAGACGGAUGCAAGUGCAGAUAAUAGCUUUAUUAGAGAUAGGCAGACAAAUAAAAAUAGAAGGGCAAAGGCAUGGUAAUAAAAGGGCAACAGGAUCAAAACUAUGGUAUGGAAACGAGAAACAAAGGCUUGGCACUGAGUGAAAACCUACACACCAGACUUCACGACGAACAAUGAGACAUGAGGGGUUUAAAUCAUAAAUGCAAACAGGGGUGAAAGACAAAAAAGCUGAAUAUAUUGAUGACACAUAAGGGACACAGCCAAUGUCAAUACAGGGGCGGAGCCAGGACAUAAACCAUAACAAAACACGUCUCAUAAGUAAACACUGAAAAACCCGCUCACGCUUCAAGCUCAAGAGUUUCAGAUCGCGCUGCAGGCUCCAGCGCUUUGUGCGAGGGGAAAUCGUGACAACAAGAAAUGUUUUGUAUCUGUCAAACACCUAAAAAUAACGUUGAAUGUGUUUAAUCAUGAAAAUGUUAGCGCUGACACUGUAGGAGACUAAGAUGAUUAGGAAUCUUAAUCUAAUGCUUAUUUAACAGUCAUUAAAAAAACAAUCAGCAUUUUAAUAGUGACUGAUGACAAAUCAGCACUUGCCUUUAAACACAAGCACUUGCCUUUAAACUGCACCCAAAAAAAAUCACGAGGUGUUGCCCCAAUAUUUCUUUUUUUGUUGUUGCAUUAUUAACAAGGUGUGCACCAUGAGUGUCUUAGACCAGCACAUACAUAGCACAGCCU